CAGCCGCCGCGGUAAUACGUAGGGUGCAAGCGUUGUCCGGAAUUAUUGGGCGUAAAGAGCUCGUAGGCGGUUUGUCGCGUCUGCUGUGAAAACGCGAGGCUCAACCUCGCGCCUACAGUGGGUACGGGCAGACUAGAGUGUGGUAGGGGAGAUUGGAAUUCCUGGUGUAGCGGUGGAAUGCGCAGAUAUCAGGAGGAACACCGAUGGCGAAGGCAGAUCUCUGGGCCAUUACUGACGCUGAGGAGCGAAAGCGUGGGGAGCGAACAGGAUUAGAUACCCCCGUAGUCCCUGUCUCUUAUAC
rnacentral:rRNA from 1 species